UGUCUUUCUUCAGCUAAUUUUUUUUUACAUUCCGUUUUUUUUCUCUCUUAUCAAUAUCCAUUUGAGAAGUAGAAGAAUUUUUCAUUUUUGUAUAGCCAUGGAUUCCGAGAACUUCAAGAUAAAAACGUUGUUUUUCGGAAGCUCAAAUCUAAGCCUGAAAAUAAGAUGUGUUUUGAUUGUAAUGCUAAGAAUCCAACUUGGGCAUCGGUGACGUAUGAGAUCUUCUUGUGUAUGGAUUGCUCCGUUGUUCAUCGCCACCUUGGUGUUCAUAUCAAUUUUGUUGGUCAAGAAAUACCGUUUCCGACGAUGGGUGGGAUGGUGGCUUCAAUUGGACUCGCCGAUUUUGGCGUUUUCUGAUGAAUUUUCGAUGGAGGAAGGGUCUAUCCGGUGAAUUUCACCGUGACAGUGACCAACAACGACAGUAAUGAUGUUUUACUGGCGAGUAUUAGCCUGGACCAUUCAUGUAUUCAUAAAAUAGAUAUGUAUAUAAUGUAAUAUAAGUAUAAUAUGUAUUCUAUAAAUACAAAUUGCUACUAUUUUGAAAUGUAAAGUAUAUACAUGUCACAGUUUAGAUAUGUUUUUAUGAAUACAUAUUGCUAAGAUUUGUAUUUAUGUUAAGUUGUAUUUGUUAUUCAUUAGAUUUACUUCUUUCUUCUUGAUAAGCAUGAUUUUUGUACCAGUUAUGUAUAAAUAAAAUACAUAUGUAUUUGAUUU